UAGUAUUUUACUGGGUGACUUUCACUUGAGUGUCACGACUGCCACCGAUGUCGGUUCUUCUCCUUAUUCGGGCGGCGCUCGGCGGUCGCCGUCGCCGGUCUUCUCGCCAUCGCCGAUCCACUUUUCAUUUUCCAUUGGUUUUGUCUUUGUUUCCCACACACCUGGUUUUCAUUUCCCAAUGACUGGUCAUGUAUUUAACCCUCUGUUUCCCCUAUGUGUUUGUGUAUGAUUGUUUAUUGUUCAUGUCGGUACGUUUCCGGCUGGUUUUGUCCGGGUGCUGUUUUCACGCGUGUUUUGUGGCAACCGUUAUUGUUCGCACAUUUGGUACUGUUACUUGUGCUAUUUUCUUGUGCGUUCACUCAUCUCUGCUCUCCUGCGCCUGACUUAAUGCACCAGCUACACCCACCGCCUGACAUUGAGUCAUUUUCUAUUAAGGUUGCUGUAUCCGGUCAUAUGGAGACCACCAUUACACAGCUGAAGGGACAUGUGCCGGAGGACCACCAGAACGGUUGUGCAACACCGGUUUCGUCUGAACUCUAAUCGUGACUGAGAGCCUGUCCUCUGCAAGCAGGAUUUCAGACAACACAAGCCGCAUCCUGAACUCCGGUGAAGCAGAACGGAGAAACGGCAGAGAUUUACCGGAGCCACAAACUGAAAUCUAACGAUGGCAAAAUCAUCUGCCCCAUUCUGAGGAGCUACAUUAGUCUUGUGUGUGGCGCCACCUGGGACAGCGCUCAAACGUCACUACUGGCAACUGAAAAUAUGCAACGUUCUUGUUCAGUUAGCCUAUGUACACUACGCAUUCUCCUUCAAAUUAGAGGAUGCGGCUUUUUCAACCACACCGUUAAUGACAGGUGAUAUAAAAUCGAGCACACAGCCAUGCAAUCGCCAUAGACAAAACAUUGGCAUUAGAACGGCCCACACUGAAGAGCUCAGUGACUUUCAACGUGGCACUGUUACAGGAUACCACCUUUCCAACAAGUUAAUACAAUUUCUGCCCAGCUAGAGCUGCCCCACUCAACUGUAAGUGCUGUUAUUGUGAUGUGGAAAGUCUCGGAGCAACAAUGGCUCAGCCGCAAAAUGGUAGCCCACACUAGUUCACAGAACGGGACCGCUGAAGCGGUUAAAAAUCGUUUAUCCUUGGUUGUAACACUCAGUUCCAAAUUGGCUCUGGAAGUUUCCAUGGUUGAGCAGUCGCACACAAGCCCAAGGUCACCAUGCGCAAUGACCAGCGUCGGCUGGCGUGGUGUAAACGAUCACUGCCAUUGGACUCUGGAAACGCAUUCUCUGGAGUGAUGAAUCACGCUUUCCCCAUCUGGCAGUCUGAUGGACGAAUCUGGGUUUGGCGGAUGCCAGGAGAACGCUACCGGCCCUAAUGCAGUGCACACGAACGUUUGGUGGAGGAGGAAUAAUCUGGGGCUAUUUUCAUGGUUCAGGCUAGGCCCAUUAGUCACAGCGAGAAGACAUCUUAACGCUACAGCAAACAAUGAUAUUCUAGACUAUUCUGUGCUUCCAACUUUGGCAAUUUGGGAAGGCCCUUUCCUGUUUCAGCAUGCUCCCGUGCACAAAGCGAGGGCCAUACAAAAAUGGUUUGUCAGUCUGUGUUGAACUUCACUGGGCUGCAAAAUCAAUUGCAUCGAACUGAUCUUUCAGUUAAAAGCAAUUGAUUUUGCAUUGGCAUAGACCUAGGUUGAGAAUUUGUGUGCCCAUGAGAACUGUUUUCACGGCGCAACAUAUACACUUGCAGUACAUUUGACAAUCUCCAAGAUCCAGGAUUCCUACAGGGUUUAAGUUCAGUGUUCAUAUUAAAUUGUUAAAUGCUUAAUUAUGACUAACACUGUCAUUAAUGUAAGGAAAGAGAAUAUUGUGCAUAUAUACACACUCUUACUGUCAAACUUAUUAGUUGUAUAGUGAUAUUGUCGACCAUCAACUGAAGGCAAAUAUUGAUAAAAUAAUUUUAAAAAGCUAAAAUGGUCUGGUACUUGGGGCCAUGGACAGCACGGAGAACACCAAUACCUGCCCUGACCCGGAAAAAGAAAUGAGUGCUCUAAACAGCCGACUGACCUUCUGUAGCUCAGUUGGUAGAGCAUGGCGCUUGUAACGCCAGGGUAGUGGGUUUGAUUCCCGGGACCACCCAUACGUAGAAUGUAUGCACACAUGACUGUAAGUCGCUUUGGAUAAAAGCGUCUGCUAAAUGGCAUAUAUUAUCAUAUUACAAAAGCAAACAAUGGUAAAUCUAAAGCAUUGGAAUAGAGGCAUUGGCUAUUUUUAAGGACACAUGGCAAACAAAGGAAAAUCUAUGCAUUUUAAGGGAGCUCAUCACUACAGAGGGGACAGGGAGACUUUGUGCAGCCAUGUAGAAAUAAAAAUGGUAAAUGGUUUAAACCAUUUAACAUUGAUAAAUUAGCAUUAUUGAGAGAACCCCAAAGUUGUUGCAUUCAGGGGAGAUGUGGCUUCCCGAAAUCAUAUAACAUUGAUAAAUUAGCACUAAUGAGUUCAUGAAAUUGGCACCCUGGUUUUGUUCUUUUUCUCUUGAUAUACUAGUUCCUUAUAAAAAAACAAACCCCA